rnacentral:rRNA from 1 species
UGCAAGUCGAACGGAGUAUUAAGAGAGCUUGCUCUUUUAAUACUUAGUGGCGCACGGGUGAGUAAUGUAUAGUUAAUCUGCCCUACACUGGAGGACAACAGUUAGAAAUGACUGCUAAUACUCCAUACUCCUUCUUAACAUAAGUUAAGUCGGGAAAGUUUUUCGGUGUAGGAUGAGACUAUAUUGUAUCAGCUAGUUGGUAAGGUAAUGGCUUACCAAGGCUUUGACGCAUAACUGGUCUGAGAGGAUGAUCAGUCACACUGGAACUGAGACACGGUCCAGACUCCUACGGGAGGCAGCAGUAGGGAAUAUUGCUCAAUGGGGGAAACCCUGAANCAGCAACGCCGCGUGGAGGAUGACACUUUUCGGAGCGUAAACUCCUUUUGUUANGGAAGAACACCGACGGCACCACACAAAUAAA